GAACCCAGACUCAUUCCCUCAAAGUCACUGGUGCUGUGGGUAGUAGCAAGGCUGUAAACUCAAGACUAACAGCAGAGCCUUCACGGACACUGCUUAGCUCUUGCAUUGGGAAUGAGCUGAUAAGGCAACUUCAUCAAUACACUUACCAAGCUCCACUGGAAAGCAGAACACUUCAUUUGGUCCUACUACUGCUUUGAUGACUGUUGAAUCUGCUUAAAAGGAAAAGGUAAGAGGUGGAAAAAAAUUGGGAGAGGAUGAGACCUGGGUGAGCUGCUUACCAAAGAGGCAUCUACACAGUGUGCUGGCCUUUAGCUGCUUGUUCCUGGAAGGGAUGAAAGGCAAGGUCUCCUAUUUAU